rnacentral:rRNA from 1 species
AUGAGUUAAGUAUAAACCCCUUAACAAGUAUCAAUUGGAGGGCAAGUCUGGUGCCAGCAGCCGCGGUAAUUCCAGCUCCAAUAGCGUAUAUUAAAGUUGUUGCAGUUAAAAAGCUCGUAGUUGGAUUUCUGUUAAUGAUUGCAUGUGCUAUCAUCGAUACGCGUGCGGCGUUAGCAUCAUUCGCAUUACUUUCUGGUAUGCGGAACUUUACUUUGAGAAAAUUAGAGUGCUUAAAGCAGGCUUUUGCCUUGAAUACUCCAGCAUGGAAUAAUAUGAAGGAUUUUUAUCUUUCUUAUUGGUUCUAAGAUAAAAAUAAUGGUUAAUAGGGACAGUUGGGGGCAUUUGUAUUUAACAGUCAGAGGUGAAAUUCUUAGAUUUGUUAAAGACAAACUAGUGCGAAAGCAUUUGCCAAGGAUGUUCUCAUUAAUCAAGAACGAAAGUUAGGGGAUCGAAGACGAUCAGAUACCGUCGUAGU